CUCCGUAGGUGAACCUGCGGAGGGAUCAUUACACAAAUAUGAAGGCGGGCUGGAACCUCUCGGGGUUACAGCCUUGCUGAAUUAUUCACCCUUGUCUUUUGCGUACUUCUUGUUUCCUUGGUGGGUUCGCCCACCACUAGGACAAACAUAAACCUUUUGUAAUUGCAAUCAGCGUCAGUAACAAAUUAAUAAUUACAACUUUCAACAACGGAUCUCUUGGUUCUGGCAUCGAUGAAGAACGCAGCGAAAUGCGAUAAGUAGUGUGAAUUGCAGAAUUCAGUGAAUCAUCGAAUCUUUGAACGCACAUUGCGCCCUUUGGUAUUCCAAAGGGCAUGCCUGUUCGAGCGUCAUUUGUACCCUUAAGCUUUGCUUGGUGUUGGGCGUCUUGUCUCUAGCUUUGCUGGAGACUCGCCUUAAAGUAAUUGGCAGCCGGCCUACUGGUUUCGGAGCGCAGCACAAGUCGCACUCUCUAUCAGCAAAGGUCUAGCAUCCAUUAAGCCUUUUUUUCAACUUUUGACCUCGGAUCAGGUAGGGAUACCCGCUGAACUUA
rnacentral:rRNA from 1 species